rnacentral:pre_miRNA from 1 species
AAAGUACUCCCUCCGUUCCGAAUUACUCGUCGCAGAAAUGGAUGUAUCUAGAUGUAUUUUAGUUCUAAAUACAUCCAUUUCUGAGACGAGUAAUUUGGAACGGAGGGAGUAGCUC